ensembl:lncRNA
GCACCAAUAAAUAUAUCAAUAAACCAACAAAAUGUGUCUGUACAAUAGAAUUUAAAUACAACGAGAAUGUUCAGGCCACGACUGAUCACAGUGAACCAGGCUCUGGACAGGGGGCAGCGGGACCAGAACUGGACCGGGACUGGACCAGGACUUGGCCAGGAAUGAAUCAGGACUGGACCAAGACCAAAACCAAGACUAAGACUAAAGUAGAACUGGAGCAGGACUAAACUAAAGAUACACAGGUAAAAUCAUUGAGUCUGAGGUAAUAUAAGGCUUUAGUGUUUCAUUAAAAAUCAAAGAUAAUUAUUCAGAUUUUAAAAUAAAUUCAGAAAAAUGUGUUUUUGAAAUUGUAAUAAAUAUGUGAAUGUAAAAUAAGUAAAAUCUCCUUUUAUCUAAAGUGUUUUGUGGAUAAAAUUAAAAAGUCCUUGUCUCUUGGUGGCGCAGGUCCUGGUCAUUACACACAGGUCCUGGUCAUUACACACAGGUCCUGGUCAUUACACACAGGUCCUGGUCAUUUCACACAGGUCCUGGUCAUUACACACAGGUCCUGGUCAUUACACACAGGUCCUGGUCAUUACACACAGGUCCUGGUCAUUUCACACAUGUCCUGGUCAUUACACACAUGUCCUGGUCACUUCACACAGGUCAUGUACUGUAACAAAUAGUGGUGAUUUUUAUUUUUAUUUUGUAGACCAGUCCCAUUGCCUCCCUCUCACUUUGAGCCCAAGUCUUAAACCAAGUCCGAACUCAAGUCUUAAACCAAGUUCAAGCCCAAGUCCAGCUUUACACCGCAAAAAUCUUUAAAUAGUUGAAUUCAUAAAAAUCAUCUUGAUUUGAGCAGAGUUUACUUAAGAGCCCAGAUAACUGCUUUUCACUAGUACUAUGAAACUAUUACUGAACCAGGUCUAAACCAGGACUAAACCGGGACUAAUCCAGGUCUAAAGUACAAAACCAAUUCAGGACUAAACUGGGUCCAAACCAGGUCCCAUAGUGUGUCUCCUGAAUAAUAUUAACUUUCUCUUUUUUUCUCAAAUCAAAAGUGUGAGAUAUUAAAGAAUACAUCUCAGAAUAAAUCUAAAUUUAAAAUCACUGCACUGAAGGUUCAGAAUUCAAGUCUGUUUUUUGCAGUGCCGUGUCCAUGACGUGGGCCUUUAAGUGCAAAACCACAUGUUCUGUUUUGUCACACUGACCCAGGCUGCCCCCACCUGUUUGGGGGUGUCAAGGCGGGGGUCAAAAAGGCCCCACAAUCCACCCACAGCCCCCGUCUACACACUGCAAAAAAAUCACAUCUAUGGGUUAAAUGAGUUGAAUUCUGAACCUGUUUUGAACAUUUUGUCUGAAUUCAGCCGCACUCGGUCUGUAUCUACACCUGUGUUUGUCACGUCCUUUUAUAGAUUCAUGAGGCAAAUGGAAACUUCAGAGACAGUAAUGCUUUUUCAUAAUGAAGUGUGCUUCUAAAAUAAAUACGAAUAAAUAAAAAAAACUCAGAUAAAAAAAAAAAACUGUCCAAAUGUCUUAAAAAUUCUAAACCAUUUCAUGAAUAAAUCUAGAAUCUCGUCAAAUCAAGAUUCAGAUUCUGAAUCAAACCAUUUUAACAAAUUAUUUUUUGCAGCGUUAAAAGCUUCAGGAAUGUCACAAACUUUUCAGUCAAAAUGGCGGCAUGACGGUUCAGAUCCAAAAUGGAGGACGAAUAAUUUUAACACUGAAUAUAAAUUAAACAAUACUGAACAAAGAUUAUAAAUAAAUGUAGUGAACGAGGGACAUGGAGUACGGGUCACACGGGUCGUUCUUUGGAAGAGUUUAAAUAAAAUAAAAAUAGGACGUUUUUUGAGCGGAUCAAUCGUUAUGAUCAGCGUGUCGAGUGUCUCCGUAUUUACCCACAGCCACAUCCCUUUAAACAGCCUGGUCUGAAAUGAACCUCAAAACAAACUCAAACAUAUCAGUUCUUCCUGUGUGGGCGGGGUCACGCAGAGGAGGCGGAGCUAAAGGAGGAAGUAGUUAGAAAUGCAGUGUGGAGGGCUGAUGUCAGGGGGCGCUGUGUUGGUUGAACACAGUAAGAUACAGCGCUCUGAUUGGUCACACCCUGGCUCUGUUUGAGUGACAGAUCACUUUGGAAAUUCACACUGAAAAAGUGAGUUCUGAGAAAACUACGGUUGUUUCCUCGACAACCACAAAAUGAUUUCUGGUGUUUAAAGCUACAGUAUGUAACUUUCUGGAGGUGUCACCUGCAGGACUGCAUGGAAACACAAAGUUAAAACUAUACUUCGGAAUAUUCUCCAUUGAGAUAGAUAUGUUUUUUGUCAUACUGCAAAAGCAGGACAAGUAAGAGUCAGGUUUGUGGAGAUGCAAGCCCGCUCAUUGGAAGGACGCAUAUGUUCACUGCUACAAAACACGUUAUUAUUUUAGUCAAACUUUGGGCUCAAAAGUUACACACUGUGUCUUUAAACAUAAGUGUUUUAGCAGCAUGUUCGCGUUUGUCUCCACUGCAUUAGAAACGGCCUCCUCCUCCUCCUCGCCUCCUCCUGGUGUUGCGCCUUUGGGAAAAACAUCAUCUUCACAUUAUCAUCUUCAUCAGAGCAGCUGAACUUGGACCGGCCCCUCACAGGAAGAGCCCGGCCGCGUCACACUGCCCCCUAGAGUCCAGAGGGCGUCCCAAACGGCCGCCCUAGGACCUGCCUUCAGUUCAAGUACAUGGGCUUCACUGCGUCGAGUUUAAAAGUUUGUUUUUCGUUUCUCUGUGAAGCCUUUGAUCCACAGCAGACCAGCAUCCAGUGAAGAAAAGAUAAAGUCUCUGAUAAACAGUUCUUUACUCAUGGAUCACACGCCCGCGGCGCAUUCGUUGCUAUAAAUAAACAUAAUAAAACGUGUCCUCUUACAUCUCGUACAUAGCAGCAAACACAUUGUGGAGGAUGUACCAGGGUUAUGUACAUAUGUUUAAAGUGGAGCAGGUCCCAUUCCCGCCGCCUGAGUCCUUUAGGAAUGAUCCUCGUUUCAAAGUGCUGUGGCAGAUUUCCUUCUCAGUGUCUCUGUCUCACCUCCGCGGCCGCUCACAUCUGCACAGAGGGGAAACAAGAGGGUUAGCGGGUUAGCCUAGCGUCAACAAGUAGCAUGUUAAUUUAGUAUCAAUUGAGUGCUAAUAUUUAGACUAAAUUCAGCCUUAAAAACAUGCAGAGGGGUGUGUACGAGAUAGGAAGGCGAGGAAGGUGGAUUUUGGGGUUUGGAAGGGGGAGCUGUGCGUCUUUGGGUUCCUGCUAGGUUUGAAAUUAUAACUCAGGCUAAUUGUUCACUGGGACUAGCAUUGGGACUAGAACUGGGAUUAGCAAUGGCAUUAGCACUGAGUCUAGCACUGGGACUAGCACUGGGAUUCACACUGGGAUUAGCACUGGGUCUAGCAAUGGGAUUAGCACUGGGACUAGCACUGGGACUAGCACUGGGACUAGCACUGGGACUAGCACUGGGACUAACACUGGGACUAGCACUGGGAUUAGCAGUGGGACUAGCACUGGGAUUAGUUGUGGGUUUUAAAUUGUGGUCUCCUGAACCUGAAGCAGCCAAUUGGAGCACUACAUCAGGUCACUCCACGGCAAAGUGUGCUGCGCCAAAUCUGUAUCCGUGUGGGGGGCCGCUAGGGUCAGGGGUCGCGGAAGUGCAGGGGUCAAAAGGUCAAAUGGGGGGUGAGAUGAGGAGGGGGCUUGUUAACUCUAAAGGCUGUUUCUGUUUGGGAGGAUGCCGUUAUAGACAAGUGGUUCUCAAAACUGUUCACACCAAGAGUGUUUUUAAGUUCUAUCAGAACUAAACCAGGACUAAACCAGGACUAAACCAGGACUAAACCAGGACUAAACCAGGACUAAACCAGGACUAAACCAGGAAUAAACCAGGAAUAAACCAGGAAUAAACCAGGUCUCUGGUCAAUAAACCCCAAAA